rnacentral:rRNA from 1 species
CCUACGGGGGGCUGCAGUGGGGAAUAUUGGACAAUGGGGGCAACCCUGAUCCAGCCAUGCCGCGUGUGUGAAGAAGGCCCUCGGGUUGUAAAGCACUUUCAGUGAGGAAGAACGCCUGGUGGUUAAUACCCAUCAGGAAAGACAUCACUCACAGAAGAAGCACCGGCUAACUCCGUGCCAGCAGCCGCGGUAAUACGGAGGGUGCGAGCGUUAAUCGGAAUUACUGGGCGUAAAGCGCGCGUAGGUGGCUUGAUAAGCCGGUUGUGAAAGCCCCGGGCUCAACCUGGGAACGGCAUCCGGAACUGCCAAGCUAGAGUGCAGGAGAGGAAGGUAGAAUUCCCGGUGUAGCGGUGAAAUGCGUAGAGAUCGGGAGGAAUACCAGUGGCGAAGGCGGCCUUCUGGACUGACACUGACACUGAGGUGCGAAAGCGUGGGUAGCAAACAGGAUUAGAUACCCGAGUAGUC